rnacentral:miRNA from 1 species
UAGAUUUGUCUAGAUAUGAA